rnacentral:lncRNA from 1 species
ACUGUUCAGCCAGAGUGGCGAACUACGGACCCAGACCUAGGCUUCCCAAACUCUGAUGGGUUUGAAAUCCCCUGGGAUCUUGUUAAAAUGCAGGCCUCCAUUCAGUAGGUCUAGGGAGGGGCCUGAGAGUGCGUAUUUCUAACAAGCUCCCCGGUGAUGCUACCGCUGCUGGGCUGAAGGUGACAUUUGGAGCCACUCAACACCCGCUGGCCCUUUACCUCUCCUCUUGUGUGGAAAUAGAGAGGGCGUGGGCGCUGCAGCAGAUGGACAGGGGUUUGAAUCCCCCCUCUGCCACUCGCUAGUUAGGCGGAAUUGGGCACAGCUCUUUGUGUAUAAAAUGGGGUGGGGGUGGGGAGCAACACUCACUGCACGUUUCUAGUGAGGAGGAGGCGAGAUCUUGCCUGGAAGAUUCCUGGUGCCCUGAGUCCUUGGUGAAGGUCAGCUGUAUUGGAUGCUUUCGCUCUCUAGUGGCCCUCUUGGCUGAGUUGGCCAGGGAAUGACAGAAGCAGAGGAAGGAACCUUCCAGGCCCCCUCCUUUCCCCUCUCAUAGGAAAACUAGGCUGAAAACCAUCACACUCCACUGCCUCCCCGGGGGCUGGAAGGGAAGGGCAGUAUUGCUGUGUGUGGGAGCAGAGGGAUGGGGGACCAAGAGCCCUGAGCGUCCCUGAGGAGGUUAGUGGGAUUCUGGGGGGGCCUGAAGCCUGGAGAAAACAGGUCUCCUGGGGCAGACGCUGAGGGUUACAGGGGGACCUGGCAGAUGCUAAGAGCCACAGAAGGCCAGAGAGUAGGAGGCCACCUGGUCAGGACCACAGUGGACACAAGGAAAAGGGGUGGAAGUAGGAGAGGGGACUGACAGUGUGUGAGGAGUCUCAGUUCCUCCUCGGAAAUGUUGUAGCAGAGCAUUAAUUGUACCGAUUUCCUGGAAGCCAUCUGAGGCUGAGUCUCACCCCUCCUGCUCACUAGUUGCGUGGCCUUGGGCAAGGAGACUUAAGCUCUCCGGUCCUCAAUUUCUCCAUCUGUAAAAUAGAGUUAUUAUCACUGGUAACUCACAGGAUGCUGUGAGGACUAAACAAGGCAAUCUUGCAAAGCCCUCAAGUCAGCAGGUGACACACAGUGAGCCUCCUAUAGGUGAUGAUGAUGAUGAUUCCCAUUGCACAGAUGGGCAACCUAAGGCUCAGAGGGCUUAAGUAACACCCAGGUCUGUGCUCGCCUCUCUGUCACGAAGGUGGAAAAGUGCCUCUUAGGCUCUCAUUAGAUCUGGACACACCUUUUAACCAGUAUUCUGAGUUGGCGUAGGGCCGAUCGUGCAUGCUGGUGGCGAAGCCCAUUCUUGGUCUGGUUCUUCUGAGGCUCCAGCCAGAAUAUGUCUCAUUUAGUGGCUCAGUGAAGGGGUUGGAAGUCAGAGGCUCUGGAUGAAAGCUAGCUGCCUUCCUCAGGACUGGUACCGGGGCCACGUGUCAUGAGAUUGUGUGUGAUAUAAGAUGUGCGAAGGUUCUGUUAGGAUCUGUCCAAAUACCAGGCACAGUUAGGAUUUUUUCUUAUUAAUGCACAUGAGAUUGUAAGACCACACUUUCUUUUAAAUCACAGUGUAGCUCUGAUGAACAGCUCAGUAGGCAGGGUUUUUUGAAAAACAAACUUUCUUCCACUCGGAGCUCAUGGACAUGGAGCAAGGGACCUGGAGCUGAGAAGUGGAGCUCUGGUCCUAGGGCCACCUCUCUGGGUUCCCAAAGUCCCCUUGGAAUGCUGUAACCCCGCAUUGUUCUAGAAUCAUUGCUUUUCAUGUCCUUCUCCCCACCCCUAGACAGUCAGCCCUUUGAAGGCAAGGACUAUGUCCUAUUCCACCUUGAAUUCUCAUCACCAAGCGGAACGCCUGACACCUAAUCUAGUCAGUGCUUACUAAGUGCUCAUUAUCAAUGCAAGAAUAACAGAGCUAUGGAACCUGGCAGCCACCUCUUUUCUUUGGGCCUCAGUCUUCUCAUGCAGAACUUGGGAUUGGACUAAAUUGGAUCUCCUAGGCUGCCUCUGACUCUAACAAUUCUCUGAUUUAAAUUAUUCUUCAUCUGGAUGUAAUCCACCUUGCUUUUCCAUCCCAGGCUCUGUUCUCACUCAUGGCUGAUGGGCAAAGGCGACUAAGGAGGCACGGCUCCGUGAGGAUGUCCUUACAACUUUGCAACCCCCAAGGAAAAAGAGAUGUGGAUUUUAUGGAAUAGAUGCUAUGUGGUGGAAUCCUGAGUCACGGCCAAACAGCAAAUGCCAGCAAGAGUAGAGUAGGAGGCAUUUCUGUGUACACUUUG